rnacentral:rRNA from 1 species
CGGGUGAGUAACACGUGGAUAACCUACCUAUAAGACUGGGAUAACUUCGGGAAACCGGAGCUAAUACCGGAUAAUAUUUUGAACCGCAUGGUUCAAAAGUGAAAGACGGUCUUGCUGUCACUUAUAGAUGGAUCCGCGCUGCAUUGGCUAGUUGGUAAGGUAACGGCUUACCAAGGCAACGAUGCAUAGCCGACCUGAGAGGGUGAUCGGCCACACUGGAACUGAGACACGGUCAAG